CUGCUUGCAAGACAGAAUUUAACUUUUAUUAUUGCACAAGAGGAAGUGCUCGCAAAUGAGGCUGCAUAUGUCCAUUCAAAAGAGAUACAAUCCUCCUCCAGCAAAGAGAACUCACCUGAAAUAAAUCUAGUGAAGAAGACUGAUGUUAAAUCAAAAGACUUUUCACCAUGCACUGAUGUCACAGCUCCAUUUAACCCCUUAAGGACCAAACUUCUGGAAUAAAAGGGAAUCAUGACAUGUCACACAUGUCAUGUGUCAUAAGGGGUUAAAGGAACUUGUUAUAGUUGCGGUGGAAAACACAGGCGUAAUACAUAUCAUUUUCGAAA